rnacentral:rRNA from 1 species
UGGGGAAUCUUGCACAAUGGGGGAAACCCUGAUGCAGCGACGCCGCGUGAACGAUGAAGCCCUUCGGGGUGUAAAGUUCUUUCGACAGGAACGAUAAUGACGGUACCGGGAGAAGAAGCUGCGGCUAACUACGUGCCAGCAGCCGCGGUAAUACGUAGGCAGCAAGCGUUGUUCGGAGUUACUGGGCGUAAAGAGUGCGUAGGCGGUUUUCUAAGUUCGGUGUGAAAUCUCCCGGCUUAACUGGGAGGGUGCGCCGAAGACUGGGAAGCUGGAGUGUGGGAAAGGCAGGCGGAAUUCCUGGUGUAGCGGUGAAAUGCGUAGAUAUCAGGAGGAACACCGGCGGUGUAGACGGCUUGCUAGACCAUAACUGACGCU